rnacentral:rRNA from 1 species
CCUACGGGGGGCAGCAGUGAGGAAUAUUGGUCAAUGGGCGCGAGCCUGAACCAGCCAAGUAGCGUGAAGGAUGACUGCCCUACGGGUCGUAAACUUCUUUUAUAAAGGAAUAAAGUGAGGCACGUGUGCCUUUUUGUAUGUACUUUAUGAAUAAGGAUCGGCUAACUCCGUGCCAGCAGCCGCGGUAAUACGGAGGAUCCGAGCGUUAUCCGGAUUUAUUGGGUUUAAAGGGAGCGUAGAUGGGUUGUUAAGUCAGUUGUGAAAGUUUGCGGCUCAACCGUAAAAUUGCAAUUGAUACUGGCAGUCUUGAGUACAGUUGAGGUAGGCGGAAUUCGUGGUGUAGCGGUGAAAUGCUUAGAUAUCACGAAGAACUCCGAUUGUGAAGGCAGCUUACUAAACUGUCACUGACAUUGAUGCUCGAAAGUGUGGGUAUCAAACAGGAUUAGAUACCCCUGUAGUC